UACGUAGGGGCCGAGCGUUGUCCGGAGUUAUUGGGCGUAAAGCGCGCGCAGGCGGCCUCGCGCGCCCGACGUGAAAGCCCCCGGCUUAACCGGGGAGGGUCGUUGGGGACGGCGGGGCUUGAGGGCGGGAGAGGGUGGUGGAAUUCCCGGUGUAGUGGUGAAAUGCGUAGAGAUCGGGAGGAACACCCGUGGCGAAGGCGGCCACCUGGGCCUGUACUGACGCUGAGGAACGAAAGCGUGGGGAGCGAACAGG
rnacentral:rRNA from 1 species